GAAAAAUGUGGUCCUUGCUCAAGAGUGUUUAUCAUGGAGCGUGUGAAAAAGACUAGCAGAUUAUCACUUGAUCUGACAGCUAUCCCUGUCAGGGGCUGUAGACAUUAAAAAAUAGCCUUAUUUUUGAUUUUUUUUAAAAACCCAAAUGGAGAAAGAUGAGAAAAAUUCAGGAAACACUGCUUGCAUACUGUGAUCUAGUGAUACCAUGUUGCCAGAUGAGAUGUUUCCUGUGAAAUGUAAGUCCACUGUUCUACAAAAACAAUAUCUGGACCAGGGAUGUUCAACAGCAACUAAUUUAAUGGCUGUUUAACCAGAAAAAUAAAAUUCUGACCGACAAACUAGUUUGAAAACAGUCAGGAUUGAGCACAAUGUGUUAAACACAGACAAACAACCCUGAGUCUGCUGGUAAAUAAUGUCAAAAUGAUUUCAUUGAGUUUUCCUAAUGUUAGCAUGGUUAGCACCACCAGCCAGUGGUGUCUGAUUCCCUGUGGCUGGUUAUUUCAAUUUCACCAGACACAUCCUAAAUACAACUUCAUCUCAGACAUGCUGUCUGUCUGUCUGUCUGUCUGUCUGUCUGUCAUCUAUGUGCUUGUUUGCAUCCUGAUAGUAGAGCAUUAAGGCAGUAGCUGUUAACUGGAGCUCCAGCCCAAGACCUGCAUGUUAGUGUCAUGAUCACAUUGGUUUUUACACUAGAUGGCAUUAUGGAGUCAUGUUGUGUGUGUGGAGUCUCUCUUUCCUCUCACAGACGUUGGGCAGCUCCUAAUCAGCACUGGCUCCUCAUGUACCUUCACCUGAUCAGCUAAACACCAUCUGCUUUUGAGCUCUGCCUUGAAGACUGCUCAUCGCCAGAUGAUUCCAGCUUGCAAAGCGGUAUCUCUGCAUGCCUCUAGUGAAGUUCUUGCAACUUUGAUGAAUAUUUACUUGUUUUACCGUACCUGAGACUAAUCCCUGCUCUCCUCCUUUUUCCUCCAGUGCCUCCGCCUGUGACCAGCGUUUGCAAAACCUCUAUAUCUUUAUGUGGCACAAAAGAAAACAGAUUCCAUAAAAAGUCCAAAUAAUGAUGAUGGUGAUGUAAUGAAUGAUAUUUGUACAAUAGUCUGAUUCACAAUGAAGAGAAGAUCGUGCAAACAGAACAGCUUACAGGAGGUUUGAUAAAUCUUCUUUUCUUCUUCUCCACUCUGUUGAGGACAGAGGGGACUCUUGACCGGGUGAGCAGGAAUCCUGGGCCGAAAAGGGACUUUUCCAGCUCCAGGUGUGUCUGCAGUCAUGAACUUAAACUCAUCUUUGAACUUCUAACCCCCAAUGAUGAGCCCUGUAAGGGAGCAGAGGGAGAGUUACAUCAAACAUUAAUGCUGAUAGUAAUGUGAUGAGGAUAUAAUGUAGAGCAGCAGGGGAUGAACUGUGAGGAGUUUUAAGAUACAUUAAAUCAAAAGGCGCCCUCUGCUGGUGCUUAGAAAGUACUCUUUCAUUUCUCAAGAAUAUUAGAAGAUUAUUUUUCAAAAGUAAGAACAGAAACUUUCAGACUUAUUGCUAAACCCCUAAAAAAGCAGGGUUUUUUUUACUUAUAUCUUUUAAAAGGUCAGAAAUUGAUCCUUUUUUCAAAUAAAAGUCUGAUCAACAUUAAUAAUGAGCGUUCACGGUUUCUCUAAGUCAACACACUGUAUCAUAGACAACUUUUAAAGGACAGAACUUUCUACCACACAGACAGCUCUGACUUUGAUACAAGUUGACAUGUUGGCAACAUAUGAAUGCAAAAAUUACUUUCAAGUGUCUGCAGUCAGUCACCAACUCUGCACCCUGCACAGUUAACAUUCAGUCUUAAACAAUACUACAAGAAAAAUAUUUCACUGAAUUUAGUUUGGUUCAGUCAAAGACCUGCAAAUGACAAGGGCCAUAAUGUGUUUUGGUUAUAUGGGACCAUGUAUAAGGUAUAUGGUUUCACAAUGCCUUAAAAUCAUCCUUUAUAAUCUGCUCCUAAAAAGCAAAAAGACAAGUAUAGUGUAUCCCUCAUCACUUAGCACUGAAACAAUGAACCCUUUUCCAUUUUCAGAGGUUUGUCACUACUUUAAAUAAAGACUCAAGUUUACAGUCUUACCAUGCACAUAAAAAAAAAUCUGUGGCAUAUGAUUUCAGUGACCAAACUUAAAUGAUAAACAGUCUCAAUUUCAAUUCAUACAUGGUGUGAUGCCCUAAAGGAAUAAAACUACUAAGACUUACACCACAGAUUAUGAGAAGCUUAUUAAAGAACGUAUUGGGAGUGAGACAAAUAUUUGUUGUGGUUUCUGUUUGUGUGGCCCUGCCCAGAUUUUAAGUGUCAGGGUUAACACCCCAGUUUGUGUUCAUGAUGGGUUACACAAUAUAAAUAUGUGUGAUACCAACCUGCCAAUGCACAUUUGAGAUGUAUCAGAUCAGACAGGGAGCUCUUAAAAGAUUUGCGACGAGGUGAGCUUCAAUCUACUUUAUUUCUCGAUUUCCCUUAUGAUUUACCUUCAUAUCACUCUUAAUUUUUCCCACAUAGUUGAGUAAGGAUUUAGAGUGAGGAGGAGGAAACAAACCUCCUCAUUAAGGUGAUUUUUUUUAAUCUGUUUUAUAAUGGGAAAAAAAGACAAAACAUAAACACGUGUGGACUGAACAUAUUUGUAUUGUGGUUCUGUUUGAUCCUUUACCACUAGAUUGAUGUGGGAAGCGGGACAUACCUUCAUGUGCUGAUUGGAGAGUCUUUCUCAGGAGAGGUCAGGCUGAAGGAGGUGAAGGAGGCCAGGGGAAGAGAGCCUCUCGAACCUUUCUAAUAUGACCACAUGGCUGCUCUGGGCUACAGCCUCAUCACUGC
rnacentral:lncRNA from 1 species